GGUCCUUUGGUAUAGCGGUUAGUACAACUUUCUUUCACGAAGUUAGCAUCAGUUCGAUUCUGGUAAGGAUCA
rnacentral:tRNA from 1 species